UACGUAGGGUGCAAGCGUUGUCCGGAAUUAUUGGGCGUAAAGAGCUCGUAGGCGGUUUGUCGCGUCUGCUGUGAAAUCCCGAGGCUCAACCUCGGGCCUGCAGUGGGUACGGGCAGACUAGAGUGCGGUAGGGGAGAGUGGAACUCCUGGUGUAGCGGUGGAAUGCGCAGAUAUCAGGAAGAACACCGAUGGCGAAGGCAGAUCUCUGGGCCGUAACUGACGCUGAGGAGCGAAAGCAUGGGGAGCGAACAGG
rnacentral:rRNA from 1 species